AACGAACGCUGGCGGCAUGCCUAACACAUGCAAGUCGAACGAGACCUUCGGGUCUAGUGGUGCACGGGUGCGUAACGCGUGGGAACCUGCCCUUAGGUUCGGAAUAACUCCCCGAAAGGGGUGCUAAUACCGGAUAAUGUCUUCGGACCAAAGAUUUAUCGCCUUUGGAUGGGCCCGCGUUGGAUUAGCUAGUUGGUAGGGUAAAAGCCUACCAAGGCGACGAUCCAUAGCUGGUCUGAGAGGAUGAUCAGCCACACUGGGACUGAGACACGGCCCAGACUCCUACGGGAGGCAGCAGUGGGGAAUAUUGGACAAUGGGCGAAAGCCUGAUCCAGCAAGGCCGCGUGAGUGAUGAAGGCCUUAGGGUUGUAAAGCGCUUUUACCCGGGAUGAUAAUGACAGUACCGGGAGAAUAAGCUCCGGCUAACUCCGUG
rnacentral:rRNA from 1 species